GAGGGUAUAGCUCAGUGGGAGAGUGCCUGCUUAUUUAUCAUGCACAAGGUCCUGGGUUCGAUCCCCAGCACAAUCA
rnacentral:tRNA from 1 species